rnacentral:lncRNA from 1 species
CCCAGCAAGUUUAAAUACAAUAAUAUAAGGAUAUAUCAUGAUUGAAGAGUAUGAAUAAUAAGCUGGCUAUAAUUCAUCAAUAUAAUUGAGAACUAGCAGGAACAAACUUUUGACUGAACAGGUUUUAAACAUGAACAAACAUUUCUGGACAAACCGGUAAUGAAGGUGAUCAGCCUUUCAUACCUGACUUAUACAUGCAAGAUGUACAGAGUACAAUUUUCAUGGCAAUCAGCAAUGAUUAACCAUAAGCUUGAAUAAAACACUCUUAUUAGAGUUAAGUAAGAACAAACUUGCCUGAACCGUUGAUUACCGCAACGCAAUUUAUAUCGCUUUACCCGAAGACCUAAUAUUAAU